GACCCAACGAGAGUUCGCCAAGUCGCACCGUGCCAGUCCGUGCGUGUACUUUGCCUAAUAAUAUUUCCUCACGGCGAGGAGAGCGCACGGCGAGUAACGCGCACGGGGUUCCAAAAGAACAAGAGAGAAAGAACGAAGGAGAUAGAUAGAGAGAUAGAGAGAGAGAGAGAGAGAGAGAGAGAAAGAGAAAGAGAGAGAGAGAGAGAGAAAGAUAGAGAAAGAUAGAAAGAGAGAGAGAGAGAGAGAGAGAGAGAGAGAGAAAGAAAGAGAGUUAGAGAUAGAAAUAGAUAGAUAGAGGUCAGAGUGUGCGUUCACUUUUCUCUCUCGUAUAUUCUCUCUGGGAAACUUAACAACUUUACGUCCUUCCAUAUUACCAACGUUUUACUUCACUUAUUUAAACGCGAAAAUAAGGUGACCCGAUCAGAAGGACACGUGCGUUCCUAUCGUGCGGAUCCUCCGUCGCGCUACGAUCCUUUCCGGAAAUUUUCGAACGUACGAACGAGAGAAAGAGAGAGAGAGAGAGAGAGAAAGAGAAAGAGAAAGAGAAAGAAAGAGGGUUUCUGUUUUGGAUUAUAUCUACUCGCCCGUGAGGGGUAACGAACGUGGAGUUUAGAAAAAAGGGGCGGAGAAGGAGAUCGAGCGUGUAAACGAUCAGCUUAUAUCGUUAUUGAUAUCUAUCUUUCGUGAGAAGUUAAAUAUAUAGAAGAAGAGAGAGGAGAGAGAAAGAGAAAGAAAGAGAAAAAACGAGAAAGAGAGAGAGAAAGAGAGAAACAUUGAUUCGAUAGAUAACAUCGAGGAUUGUGCGCGUAAAUUUUUGUUUUUUUUUUUUCGUUUGACAUUAUUAUCGACAUUCUCGUGAACUCGACAUUUAAUCAAAGACCCUACGACGACAACGACGACGACGAUUAGUAAUUGAUAAUAAUCAGUGUAAUCGCGUGUGUAUACUGUAUGGAAGAAGAUACUGUGACAAGACGAUUGGCAAAGGAUAGAUCAUCGUAGAUCAUCGUGUUAGAAGAAUAAUAUAACUUCGGAGAUAACGAGGAAGAAGGGAAGAAAAAAUAUCCAGGGAUAGCUAAUUACAUACAAGGAGUCGUUUUAACUCGACUGCCGGAAGAGAAACAUCCAGAGAGGAGUGUAAGAAGAAGAAGAAGAAGAAGAAGACACCGUCGGCCGUCGGCAGAAAGAAAAAAGAAAAAGAGAACGAGAGACGAUCGAACGAGAGAGGCCGAACGAGUGAAGAGAAAGAAAGAGAAAGAGAGAGAGAGAGAGAGAGUGAUAUCUUGUGACCGGUAGCGUGCCAAAGGCCCGAAGAUUCUGCCUUCGCAGCAGCUCGGCGCUGCGGUCGCUCCAUGGCCGGGCGCCACCGGCCUCCUCGCCUCCGUCACCGCUGACGAUAUGGCACAUAAAGGUCACAGCGGAGUGAACCAAUUGGGUGGCGUCUUCGUCGGUGGUAGACCGCUUCCGGAUUCGACGAGACAAAAGAUCGUCGAAUUAGCUCAUUCGGGGGCACGUCCUUGCGACAUCUCAAGAAUCCUGCAGGUCAGCAAUGGCUGCGUUUCGAAGAUCCUUGGCAGCAGGUACUAUGAGACCGGAUCCAUAAGGCCAAGGGCCAUUGGCGGCAGUAAGCCGCGAGUGGCCACGGCGGAAGUCGUCAGCAAGAUCUCACUUUAUAAAAGCGAGUGCCCGUCGAUCUUUGCUUGGGAGAUCAGAGAUCGUUUACUUCAGGAGGGCGUGUGCACGAACGACAACAUUCCAAGCGUUUCGUCCAUCAACAGGGUAUUGAGGAACUUGGCGGCACAGAAGGAACAAAGACAACAACAGCAGCAACAGCAACAGGGUGUAGGGGCAGUUGGAGUUGGCAUCGGCGUAGGUGUUGGCGCUGGUAGUCCUGCCGAGAGCGUUUACGACAAGCUCAGGCUACUGAAUGGACAGACCACUGGCUGGUCAAGACCCAAUCCCUGGUAUCCGUCGGGUGCGGGAAGCCCUUUCUCGAGUCUUCAGCCUAGUCUGAGUCCGAGCCAUUGCACGGCGCUACCGCCUGAUCCCGCUGAUAUUCUCCACGCCAAAAAGGUGGCUGAACUCGAAGGAGGCGCUCACUCGGACGAGACCAACAGCGGUGGUGACAACAGUAACGCUGGCAGUGUAUCUGGUGGUGCAGACGAUGAUCAAGCACGUUUACGACUUAAGAGAAAGCUUCAGAGGAAUCGUACGAGCUUCAGCAACGAGCAAAUCGAUGCACUCGAGAAGGAAUUCGAGAGGACGCAUUAUCCGGAUGUAUUUGCAAGAGAACGACUGGCUGGGAAGAUUGGCCUACCGGAAGCUCGAAUACAGGUAUGGUUUUCGAAUCGGCGGGCAAAGUGGAGACGAGAGGAGAAGUUGCGUACGCAACGGAGGGACAACCCGCAGCAGCAGCAACAACAGCAACAACAGCAGCAACAGCAACAGCAACAACAGCAACAACAGCAGCAGCAACAACAGCCACAGCCUCAGCAACAACAGCAACAAUCUCAUACGGGAGGUGUUAGUCUUGUGGGUGCUGGUCAUCCUACGCCACCUCCUCCGACUGGUAUUCUUGGUGGACAGGCACCACCGCAGGCACCACCGUCGCCACCGAGAAUACAUCAUGGAUUUGCACCGACCGCUGUUUAUCCAGGAAUACCUAGCAUGCCGGACUCUUACAGUCCAAUGACAUCAAUGCCAAGCUUCACGAUGUCAGGUGGCAGCCAACAGAAUCAACAUACGACGAGCAGCAUGUCUUCGCUGUCAGGCUCCCUUUCGGGUUCGUUAUCAGGCUCGCUAUCGGGAGGUGGCAUGGGCCCAAUGGGUAUGACGGUUGGCAUGACCGUUGGCCCUAGUCCAGGCGCGUGCCUUCAACAACGUGACAAUGGUUACUCUUGUGGCGUGGCACGACCACCAAGCUACGAACCGCUUCAUUUGGGAUACGGUGCGAGGCCAACCUGCAGUCCGACCCAGCCUUACCACACCGCGGGCCUUAAUCAGUACAAUCAGAACGCCAGCUCGACCGGUGAGUGUCUACCGCACUCACUGCACUCGCUGCUUGCGCUUUAGCCGAUGGACUACUACUAUGGCUACCACGGAUAACACGCUAUCGAGCCUGCCGGUCUGAUAUCACCGGGAGUAAGCGUACCGAUCGCAGUACCGGGCCAACCAGCACCUGACAUGGCGGCACAAUAUUGGUCACCGAGGCUACAGUGACCGUGGUGGUCCUCGACGUCGACCUCGUCCUCCUAGGCACGAGUUUCUUCGUCCUCGAUCAGAACCAGAAUAUGAUCGUCGUCGGUUUUAGGACCACCAAGAGAUUCAUAGAAAGGGAAGGAAGGAAAGAAAAGAAAAGAAAUGAAAAACAGAUGAACAAAGGACUUUCAAUCAUGUUUCUUAUCAAAAACGAUGAGGAGGGACAAGUGUGCGAAGAACUCGAGUUUUCCAAACGUUUCUUCUUUUUUUUUCUUGUACCCUUUUUUUGUUUUGUUUUUCUUUUCUUUUUUUUUUUUUUUUUUUUUUUUUUUUUUUUCUUUUAGAUUCGACGACGACAAUGAUAAUACGACGAUGAAACAGAGAAGAGAUAGAUAGUCGAAAACGAUAUCCUCGAGAUCGUUGUGUCGUCGUAAAAAAGGAAAAAAAAAAUUAGGAAAAUGCAAGCACCACCGAUUAUUAAUAAUAAAAUUUCGAUUCAAGGAGAAAUCCAAGAAAAGUUUUCUUCGAUAUUUAAUCGUAAUCGGUAGGAAGAGAAUUCGACGUUUUCGAAUAAACUUUAAACUAGCAUACUAUGGUAGUGCAUUUAGCAUAUUAAACGAGAUUGCAUUUUCGGUAUGCUUUAUGUUGUAAUUAAAAAUCACGACUUAACUCUACUUUCACGUAGAAUUAUAUUACUAUGUGAAUUAUAAAGUGUAGUAUUUUUUUAAGUACUAUGUUAAAUAUAGAUCAUAGUAUUUGAGAAAUACUAUGUGAAAUAUGAGCUAUAGUAUUUUUUUUAAAUACAACGUUAAAUAUAAACCAUAGUGUUUAUAAAAUACUAUGU